CAGCCGCCGCGGGAAUACGAAGGGGGCUAGCGUUGCUCGGAAUGACUGGGCGUAAAGGGCGCGUAGGCGGAUUGUUUAGUUAGGCGUGAAAUUCCUGGGCUCAACCUGGGGACUGCGCUUAAUACAGGCAGUCUAGAGUGAGGAAGAGGGUUGUGGAAUUCCCAGUGUAGAGGUGAAAUUCGUAGAUAUUGGGAAGAACACCGGUGGCGAGGGCGGCAACCUGGUCCUUGACUGACGCUGAGGCGCGAAAGCGUGGGGAGCAAACAGGAUUAGAUACCCCGGUAGUCCCUGUCUCUUAUAC
rnacentral:rRNA from 1 species